AACGAACGCUGGCGGCAUGCCUAACACAUGCAAGUCGAACGAGACCUUCGGGUCUAGUGGCGCACGGGUGCGUAACGCGUGGGAAUCUGCCCUUUGCUUCGGAAUAACAGUUAGAAAUGACUGCUAAUACCGGAUGAUGUCUUCGGACCAAAGAUUUAUCGGCAAAAGGAUGAGCCCGCGUAGGAUUAGGUAGUUGGUGGGGUAAAGGCCUACCAAGCCGACGAUCCUUAGCUGGUCUGAGAGGAUGAUCAGCCACACUGGGACUGAGACACGGCCCAGACUCCUACGGGAGGCAGCAGUGGGGAAUAUUGGACAAUGGCGAAAGACCUGAUCCAGCAAUGCCGCGUGAGUGAUGAAGGCCGUUCGGUCGUAAGGACUCUUUACCUACGG
rnacentral:rRNA from 1 species